rnacentral:tRNA from 1 species
GGGGCUAUAGCGCAGCUGGUAGCGCACCUGCUUUGCAAGCAGGGGGUCGCCGGUUCGAACCCGGCUAGCUCCA